UUGGACGUAGUGCACGGCGCACGCCUGCCUUAAUUGCAGGAAGAAUGCGACAAAUUAGGAGGCAGGAAACCUGGGUUCGACUCCCGGCGUCCGAA